AUUGUACGCUGGCUGCAUGCCUUACACAUGCAAGUCGAACGGCAGCACGGGUGCUUGCACCUGGUGGCGAGUGGCGAACGGGUGAGUAAUACAUCGGAACAUGUCCUGUAGUGGGGGAUAGCCCGGCGAAAGCCGGAUUAAUACCGCAUACGAUCUACGGAUGAAAGCGGGGGACCUUCGUGCCUCGCGCUAUAGGGUUGGCCGAUGGCUGAUUAGCUAGUUGGUGGGGUAAAGGCCUACCAAGGCGACGAUCAGUAGCUGGUCUGAGAGGACGACCAGCCACACUGGGACUGAGACACGGCCCAGACUCCUACGGGAGGCAGCAGUGGGGAAUUUUGGACAAUGGGCGAAAGCCUGAUCCAGCAAUGCCGCGUGUGUGAAGAAGGCCUUCGGGUUGUAAAGCACUUUUGUCCGGAAAGAAAUCCUUGGCCCUAAUACGGUCGGGGGAUGACGGUACCGGAAGAAUAAGCACCGGCUAACUACGUG
rnacentral:rRNA from 1 species